rnacentral:lncRNA from 1 species
AGGCAUCUGGACUAUAAGCGGGAGAAUUUCCCACCUUCACGCAAUUACUUUUCUCCCUCCAAAUCUAAUCGUCUCUCUUUCCAGCCCUAAAUUCCCACUCGUCGCUCUCUUUCUAGCCCUAAAUCUCCCCCUCCAGAUUUCCGGCGUGAUGCUUUUUCCGGCGUGUAGGUGGUUUGCGGCUUCUUUACAACAGGAUCAUGGUUCUAGCUUUGGAAGACUCAGCAAUGGAUGUUGAUAAAGUGGACAACCUAAAGUUUUAUCCAACAAAAGAGGAGACGGAGCUGCUUCACGUAAACUGUUAGUAAAAACAGUUUAAAGGAUUAAAAGACAGAAUAAACCCUGAACUGCUAGAAAUAUGUGAAUUAAGUCCUUGGAAUCUAAUUCCAAAAGUAUGGAUAUUUCUGCACACUUACCAAUAUUGCAGCAAGUUUAAGCAUGGUCCCGAUCAUGAUUAGGAUACAAAGGAGAGAAGGAUAAAUUAGGAAAACAUGAACAGAGUUUUUUCUUCCAGGUUACAGUUCAAUGCACAGGUUUCUUGUCUUAGGAAGAGCUUAAACAUAGUAAAUUCGGCUGUAGAACAGACCAGGAUUCUGGUAAACUAAAGAGAGUCAUGCAAAUGAUUCUUUAGUUGGGAAAUGCUUUGAACCAGGGGACUGCAAGGGGGUCUGCAAUCGGGUUCAGGUUAGAUAGCCUCCCAAAACUUGCAGAUACACUAGCAAGGAACAAUAGAAUGACUCUCAUGCAUUACAUCAGUAAGGUGCUUGCUGACAAACUACCUGAAGUUCUUGAUUUUUCAAAGGAUCUUAGCAGUUUGGAACCUGCAGCAAAGGCGUAUAAUGACCUUGCAGAUUAUUGUGGUGUGCCACAACUGGCAAAAAAAUUAAACCAGAUUUUGGUUCAACUUAUCAACACAGUGCUACCACGGUUGAAGACGCGUAUUAGCUCCCUCAAUUAGUUUCAGUAGCAAAAGAGCAUGCAAGUUAUGGAGAGAUUACAGAUUCAAAGGUCCAUUUUCUGCAUCAUAAACCUAUAUUUCUGAUCGUCUGGAAUAACUUAUGUGCUUCUCAACCGAAGUUCUUUAGCGAGUUAGGUAUUUCGUUAGUUUAGCUUUAUAUAUAGAUUAUAUGUAGUUUACUUAUACAGUUUAACGUAGUUUGUUAUGCAUUCAACAAAUGAUUGUAAUUUGAAUUGGAAGUCUACGGGUUUAUUUUGGAAUUGAAUGUGUAUUGGUUUGUUUUGAUUUGAAAAUUGAACA